rnacentral:rRNA from 1 species
UACAGAGGUCUCAAGCGUUGUUCGGAUUCAUUGGGCGUAAAGCGCAUGUAGGUGGUUUUGUAAGUUUGAUGUGAAAGCCCUGGGCUUAACCUGGGAAUGGCGUUGAAUACUGCAAAACUUGAGUCGGACAGAGGGCGGUGGAAUUUCCGGUGUAGCGGUGAAAUGCGUAGAGAUCGGAAAGAACAUCGGUGGCGAAGGCGGCCGCCUGGGUCCAGACUGACACUGAGGUGCGAAAGCGUGGGGAGCAAACAGG